rnacentral:rRNA from 1 species
UACGUAGGGUGCGAGCGUUAAUCGGAAUUACUGGGCGUAAAGCGUGCGCAGGCGGUUUUGCAAGCCGGAUGUGAAAUCCCCGGGCUCAACCUGGGAAUGGCAUUCGGGACUGCAAGGCUGGAGUGCGGCAGAGGAGACUGGAAUUCCUGGUGUAGCAGUGAGAUGCGUAGAUAUCAGGAGGAAUACCGAUGGCGAAGGCAGGUCUCUGGGCUGACACUGACGCUCAUGCACGAAAGCGUGGGGAGCAAACAGG